CCUACGGGAGGCAGCAGUGAGGAAUAUUGGUCAAUGGACGAGAGUCUGAACCAGCCAAGUAGCGUGAAGGAUGACUGCCCUAUGGGUUGUAAACUUCUUUUAUAUGGGAAUAAAAUGUUCCACGUGUGGGAUUUUGUAUGUACCAUAUGAAUAAGGAUCGGCUAACUCCGUGCCAGCAGCCGCGGUAAUACGGAGGAUCCGAGCGUUCUCCGGAUUUAUUGGGUUUAAAGGGAGCGUAGGUGGAUUGUUAAGUCGGUUGUGAAAGUUUGCGGCUCAACCGUAAAAUUGCAGUUGAAACUGGCAGUCUUGAGUACAGUAGAGGUGGGCGGAAUUCGUGGUGGAGCGGUGAAAUGCUUAGAUAUCACGAAGAACUCCGAUUGCGAAGGCAGUUCACUGGACUGCAACUGACACUGAGGCUCGAAAGUGUGGGUAUCAAACAGGAUUAGAUACCCGGGUAGUC
rnacentral:rRNA from 1 species